GACGAACGCUGGCGGCGUGCUUAACACAUGCAAGUCGAACGGAAAGACCCUGCUUUUGUGGGGUGCUCGAGUGGCGAACGGGUGAGUAACACGUGAGUAACCUGCCCUUGACUUUGGGAUAACUUCAGGAAACUGCGGCUAAUACCGGAUAGGAGCUCCUGCUGCAUGGUGGGGGUUGGAAAGUUUCGGCGGUUGGGGCUGGACUCGCGGCUUAUCCGCUUGUUGGUGGGGUAGUGGCUUACCAAGGCUUUGACGGGUAGCCGGCCUGGGAGGGUGACCGGCGACAUUGGGACUGAGAUACGGCGCAGACUCCUACGGGAGGCAGCAGUGGGGAAUAUUGCACAAUGGGCGGAAGCCUGAUGCAGCAACGCCGCGUGCGGGAUGACGGCCUUCGGGUUGUAAACCGCUGUCGCAUGUGACGAAGCGUGAGUGACGGUAAUGGGUAAAGAAGCACCGGCUAACUACGUG
rnacentral:rRNA from 1 species